AUGAAGAACGUAGCGAAAUGCGAUAAGUAAUGCGAAUUGCAGAAUUUCCGUGAGUCAUCGAAUCUUUGAACGCACAUUGCGCCCACUGGUAUUCCGGUGGGCAUGCCUGUUCGAGCGUCAUUAUCCUCCCUCAAACCCCGGGUUUGGUGUUGGACCCAAGUUGUGUGAACAACUGGUCUUAAAGACAAUGACUGCGUCCGUGGGACCCUCGGUGCAACGAGCUUUUAGGAGCACGCAUCGAGUUGCAAGGACCUUCCGGGCCGGUCUCCUUUACUAUUUUACAAGGUUGACCUCGGAUCAGGUAGGAAUACCCGCUGAACUUAAGCAUAUCAAUAAGCGGAGGA
rnacentral:misc_RNA from 1 species